ensembl:lncRNA novel transcript
GGAGUCAUUUGGAAUAAACUUUCCCUGACUCACAAGGAUCCUCAGAAAUUAGGAGCUGUUGGGAGAAUGAGGAAUGACCUGGAUGCUGAAGAGGCACCCACAGAUAUCUAAGAGAGAGGGGGAAGAGGUCAUUUGGACACAGAGUCGUGGACAUAGAGAGGAGAGCAACCUGUGAUGAUGGGAGCAGAGAUUGCAGUGGUGCGCCUGCAACCAAGGAACACCACGGACUGCCCACAACUACCAGAAGCUUGGAAGAGGCAAGGGAGGAUUCUUCCCCAGAGUCUUCAGGUGGUGCACAGUCCUGCUGACACCUUGUUCUUGGACUUCCAGCCUCCAGAACUGUGAGAGAAUGAAUUUCUGUUGUUUUAAGCUGCCCAGUUUGUGGUCAUUUGUCAUGGCGGCCCUACGGAACUAGUACAGCCUGGACAAGCUCUAAGAUCUUCUUCCAGGCAGAGCAAGACCUAUAUCCUCUCCCGCCUUGACUCUGCAGAUAAACACAUGUCCUCAGCCAACCAGAUGGACUCAAGGUGACCUCACAAGUGCCUCCCUCUCCUGCUAAGGCCACCUGCCAGGGUCACUGUGUCACUCAGAUUCCCAACCUCAAAGAACCCCAACCUUUGGAGUCAACUCUCAUCAACCAGACACCAUAAUUUAAUUAGAAAAGGGGAGAUUUAAGAUAGAAAAACAAUACAGGACAUGGGUUUUCUGAGCAUGAAAUAGCUCCUGAACCCAAGAAAAAUUUCAUGUUCCAGUAGAAGGGCAUUGAUGACAAAGCCUGCUUCUGCCGUUUACUUGCUGGGGCUUUGGAUAAGACACUUGAGUGCUGUGAAUAUCAAGCUGGUCAUCUUUAAAAUGGGUCUAUCAUUCCUGCCUGGCCAAUUGCUUAGGGUUGUUUGGGGAACAAUUGAGAGAGACCGUGAGUGAACCAGGUUGAAAUGGAAAUUGCAUAUGAGUCUGAGGCAUUGAUUUUUAUUAGGGAGGCUACAAAACCCAGUUUUUAGUGAGAGAGGGAGAAAGUAUGAGAGGGAGAUGCUACUGGAAUUUAAUACUAGUGAGUUUCUCAGGCAGAGCUCAGGAUGAAGAAAUUUAUUUGCUCAAGGUCAACCAGCAAAAACUGGAAAAGACCUACAACUAGAAUUUGGGGUAUAAAAUUGUAUACUUGCUCCUGUUCUACCUUCUCACUGACCCCUUCCCUCCAACCUGCUCUAUGUAUUUUCUUUUUGAGACAGAGUCUUGCUCUGUCGCCCAGGCUGGAAUGAAGUGGCACAAUCUCGGCUCACUGCAACUGCUGCCUCCCAGGUUCAAGCGAGUCUCCUGCCUCAGCCUCCCAAGUAGCUGGGGUUACAGGCGUGUGCCACC